rnacentral:tRNA from 1 species
GCCCAAGUGGCGGAAUUGGUAGACGCACCAGAUUUAGGUUCUGGCGCCGCAAGGCGUGGGGGUUCGAGUCCCUUCUUGGGCACCA